GUAUUCCUACGGGACGCAGCAGUAGGGAAUCUUCCACAAUGGGCGAAAGCCUGAUGGAGCAACGCCGCGUGGGUGAAGAAGGUCUUCGGAUCGUAAAACCCUGUUGUUAGAGAAGAAAGUGCGUGAGAGUAACUGUUCACGUUUCGACGGUAUCUAACCAGAAAGCCACGGCUAACUACGCGCCAGCAGCCGCGGUAAUACGUAGGUGGCAAGCGUUAUCCGGAUUUAUUGGGCGUAAAGGGAACGCAGGCGGUCUUUUAAGCCUGAUGUGAAAGCCCUCGGCUUAACCGGAGUAGUGCAUUGGG
rnacentral:rRNA from 1 species